rnacentral:rRNA from 1 species
AGGACGAACGCUGGCGGCGUGCCUAACACAUGCAAGUUGAGCGACGAACCAGGGCUUGCCCUGGGGCAGAGCCGCGAACGGGUGAGUAACACGUGGGUUACCUACCCCGAUGACCGGGACAACCCGAGGAAACUCGGGCUAAUACCGGAUGUGGUCCUCGGACUAAAGGAAGCUUCGGCCUCCGCAUCGGGAUGGGCCCGCGGCGCAUUAGCUUGUUGGUGGGGUAACGGCCUACCAAGGCGACGAUGCGUAGCUGGUCUGAGAGGACGAUCAGCCACACUGGGACUGAGACACGGCCCAGACUCCUACGGGAGGCAGCAGUGGGGAAUAUUGGACAAUGGGCGCAAGCCUGAUCCGGCAAUGCCGCGUGUGUGAAGAAGGUCUUCGGAUUGUAAAAGCACUUUCGGCGGGGACGAUGAUGACGGUACCGCAGAAGAAGCCCGGCUAACUUCGUGCCAGCAGCCGC